rnacentral:misc_RNA from 1 species
ACAAACUUGGUCAUUUAGAGGAAGUAAAAGUCGUAACAAGGUUUCCGUAGGUGAACCUGCGGAAGGAUCAUUCAUAAUAAAAGUGUUUUAUGGCACUUUUCAAACAAUCCAUAUCCACCUUGUGUGCAAUGUUUAAUUGGGAAUUUGUUUUCCCUAUUAUAACUUUAUCAACUCUUUUAUCUUUAAAUGCCAAUUUGUCUUAAAAAACUUAUAUUAUGUGAAUAACUUAAUUCAAAAUAUAACUUUCAACAACGGAUCUCUUGGCUCUCGCAUCGAUGAAGAACGCAGC